rnacentral:rRNA from 1 species
AUUGAACGCUGGCGGCAGGCCUAACACAUGCAAGUCGAGCGAGCGGCGGACGGGUGAGUAAUGUCUGGGAAACUGCCUGAUGGAGGGGGAUAACUACUGGAAACGGUAGCUAAUACCGCAUACCAUCAGAUGUGCCCAGAUGGGAUUAGCUGGUAGGUGGGGUAACGGCUCGCCUAGGCGACGCUCCCUAGCUGGUCUGCGUGGAUGACCAGCCACACUGGAACUGAGACACGGUCCAGGUUCCGACGGAGGGCAGCAGUGGGGAAUAUUGCACAAUGGGCGCAAGCCUGAUGCAGCCAUGCCGCGUGUAGGAAGAAGGCCUUCGGGUUGUAAAGCACUUUCAGCGGGGAGGCGUUACCCGCAGAAGAAGCACCGGCUAACUCCGUGCCAGCCGCCGCGGUAAUAC